UACAGAGGGUGCGAGCGUUGUUCGGAAUUACUGGGCGUAAAGCGCGCGCAGGCGGCCUUUUAAGUCUACCCGUGAAAUGCCGGGGCUCAACUCCGUGCACGCCGGGGGAUACUGGGAGGCUGGAGACAUGUAGAGGCAAGCGGAAUUCCGGGUGUAGCGGUGGAAUGCGUAGAGAUCCGGAAGAACACCUGAGGCGAAGGCGGCUUGCUGGGCA
rnacentral:rRNA from 1 species